rnacentral:lncRNA from 1 species
AAAUGGAAUAAUGCAUAAAAGUUAGUCAAAAAAUUUCAAGCUCCAUAUAAAAUGAUAUUUAGAAGUUAGCUAUGAUCUUACAAACUCCAAAUCAUACAAUCUCACAGAUUAAAUCUUAACUUAAUUCUUAUUUGUCAAUUUAAAUAAUUUGCGCAAAAUUAAUAAAAAAUAUUGUCUAUAUACAAUUGACAACAAUUGUGACACAUUAUUGACGAUGAAGCGCAGUCUGUUGGUAAGACGCUUCCCCUCCAACCAAUAGGUCGGGGGUUCGAGUCACCUUAGGAGCUAGAGUGUGAGUGAGUUUUUUCCUUUCUUUG